rnacentral:rRNA from 1 species
AGAUUGAACGCUGGCGGCAUGCCUUACACAUGCAAGUCGAACGCGAAAGGGGGGCAACCCCCGAGUAGAGUGGCGAACGGGUGAGUAAUACAUCGGAACGUGUCCAGUAGCGGGGGAUAACCUCUCGAAAGAGAGGCUAAUACCGCAUACGACCUACGGGUGAAAGAGGGGGAUCGCAAGACCUCUCACUAUUGGAGCGGCCGAUGUCGGAUUAGCUAGUUGGCGGGUAACGGCCCACAAGGCGACGAUCCGUAGCUGGUCUGAGAGGACGACCAGCCACACUGGAACUGAGACACGGUCCAGACUCCUACGGGAGGCAGCAGUGGGGAAUUUGGACAAUGGGCGCAAGCCUGAUCCAGCCAUGCCGCGUGAGUGAAGAAGGCCUUCGGGUUGUAAAGCUCUUUCGGCUGGACGAAAAGGUCCGUGUUAACACCACGGAUCCAUGACGGUACCAGCAGAAGAAGCACCGGCUAACUACGUGCCAGCAGCCGCGUAA